GUACUCGCUUCAUCAGCACAUAUACUAAAAUUUGAACAACACAGAGAAGGUUAGCAUGGCCCCUGUGCAAGGAUGGCACAAAAAUUUGUGAAGCAUUCCAUAUUUUA